UACAGAGGUCUCAAGCGUUGUUCGGAUUCAUUGGGCGUAAAGGGUGCGUAGGCGGCGCGGUAAGUCGGGUGUGAAAUCUCGGAGCUUAACUCCGAAACUGCAUCCGAAACUGCUGAGCUUGAGUUCUUAAGAGGAUCGCGGAAUUCCCGGUGUAGAGGUGAAAUUCGUAGAUAUCGGGAGGAACACCAGUGGCGAAGGCGGCGAUCUGGGAAGAUACUGACGCUGAGAGGCGAAAGCGUGGGGAGCAAACAGG
rnacentral:rRNA from 1 species